ACCUGCUGCCGGGCGUUGAGC
rnacentral:misc_RNA from 1 species